rnacentral:ncRNA from 1 species
GAUAAUUUGGUUUUGGUUAUUAUAUAAGCUAUUACUAAAUUUAUAUAUGUUAGGUUUAGAUAGUAGAUCGUUUUGUUUAGAUUAUAUUAUUAUUUAAUAAUUUGUUUAAUACUCAUUAAAUAAUAUUAGUAUAUUAUUAAUAUUUUAUUAAGAUAAUGUAAAUAAGCUACGCAGUAUUUAUAAUUAUACAAUGGAUGAAAAUUUGAUAUAGUUAAUGUAGUUUAAAGAUGGAUAAAUUGGUGCCAGCAUCUGCGGUUAUACUAAUGUCUUUAGUUUAUAUAUUAUAGUAUAAAAUAAAGUAAUAUUGGUAUAAAUUAGAGUAAAUGAGUAUAAUAAUUGUAAGUAAAAUUUAAUUAUUAUUAUUUAAUUAAAUUACUCUAUAUAUAAUUCUUUGAAAAUAAGAGCAGAAAACUAGGAUUAGAGACCCUAUUAUUCUUUAUUUUAAAAAUUUGUUACUUAAGUAGUAUGAAUGUAAAUAAUGUAAAGUACGUUUAUGUUUGAAAUUUAAAAGGCUUGGCGGUGUUAUAUAUCCUUCCAGGGGAGCUUGCUUAAUAAUUUGAUAAUCCUCAAUUUAUACUUACUUUUUUUUGAAUAAUAUCAGUUUGUAUAUUGCUGUCGUCAGUUUAUUUUGUAAAAAUUUUGGAAAAAACUUAAUAAUGUGAGGUUACAAUGUCAAGUCAAAAUGCAGCUAAUAGAAAAGAUAUUGAAAGUGAGCUACGAUUUAUAAUUUUUUAUCUGAUUAAAUUAUGUAACUAAUUUAUGAGGUUGGACUUGGUAGUAAUAAACAUAUAUAUAAAUAGUGAGUUUUUGUGAAUUAGGUUUUAUAAUGCGUACAUAUCGCCCGUCGCUCUUGUUGGAAAAUAAGAUAAGUCGUAACAUAGUAGAGGUAGUGGAAGCUGUUUCUGGAAUGUAGA